rnacentral:rRNA from 1 species
UACGGAGGAUGCGAGCGUUAUCCGGAUUUAUUGGGUUUAAAGGGUGCGUAGGCGGUCCGUUAAGUCAGCGGUAAAAGCCCGGGGCUCAACCCCGGCCCGCCGUUGAAACUGCAUCCCUUGAGUGCGCGAGAAGUAUGCGGAAUGCGUGGUGUAGCGGUGAAAUGCAUAGAUAUCACGCAGAACCCCGAUUGCGAAGGCAGCGUACCGGCUCCACACUGACGCUGAGGCACGAAAGCGUGGGUAUCGAACAGG